GUCUCUGUUUAAUCCCGUGAUUGGUUACAAACUGCCUUCUUGUUCAUCUAUAAAUAUUGAUAGACGUUUUGAACAAUCACAAGAUCUCAUCCAUUUCAGAGCAAGAAACAGCAAUCAUGAACCAUCCUACUCAAGGAAAAAAUCAAGGACCACAUCAACCACAUCCUGAUCCUCACCACCCAGGUCCUCAUGGAGACCAUCCACCUGGACACAAAGGAGAACCUGGACACCAUCCACCUCAAGGCAAGGGACCUCAUGACCAGCAUGGACAUCAUGACCAACAUGGACCUCAUGGUCAACCUGGGCCACAUGGAAAGCAUUAAUAUCUAAAACAUUGUCUCAGGGAAUUCAGCAUCAUCAAAGAUGUGUCUACUAUAAAUUCCCCGUGUUAUCUUUUCUUGCUGGAGAUCAGCAAAGAUUUGUUUGAAUCAUGUCCAAAAUGUCACAAUGUCGCUAUCUUUUCUUAUUUGAAAACAUUUAUGUCAGUGCUAUAGUUAUAACAUAUUAUCACAUUUGAGCAUUUGAUAAACCAUAAAACUAAUAAUGUUCUGUAUCUAUAAAGUGGUAGGACACUAUAUCUCUAAAUGACCAGUACUUACUUCAUAAAUAAAAAACCUCAAAGCCUUCUGUGUAUAUCAUAUGUUUAUGCUGUGCGUUUGAAUACAAUAACUAUUUUGUUUUAUACCUUUUAACAAAAUUAUACCUUUCCACAAUAUUAGCCAAGAAAUGUGGAUCCAUCAAUUCAUAUCAACAUAGAAAAUGCAGCAUCCAUUCUAGUUCAGAAACACAUUGCACAAGAACAUAUUAUUCAUGUAGCUAAAAAAAAUUAGAAAUAAAUUCUGUU